rnacentral:rRNA from 1 species
GAUGAACGCUGGCGGCGUGCCUAAUACAUGCAAGUCGAGCGAACGGACGAGAAGCUUGCUUCUCUGAUGUUAGCGGCGGACGGGUGAGUAACACGUGGAUAACCUACCUAUAAGACUGGGAUAACUUCGGGAAACCGGAGCUAAUACCGGAUAAUCUUUUGAACCGCAUGGUUCAAAAGUGAAAGACGGUCUUGCUGUCACUUAUAGAUGGAUCCGCGCUGCAUUAGCUAGUUGGUAAGGUAACGGCUUACCAAGGCAACGAUGCAUAGCCGACCUGUGAGGGGGAUCGGCCACACUGGAACGUAGACACGGUCCAGACUCCUACGGGAGGCAGCAGUAGGGAAUCUUCCGCAAUGGGCGAAAGCCUUACGGAGCAACGCCGCGUGAGUGAUGAAGGUCUUCGGAUCGUAAAACUCUGUUGUUAGGGAAGAACAUAUGUGUAAGUAACUGUGCACAUCGUGACGGUACCUAAUCAGAAAGCCACGGCUAACUACGUG